GUCGAACGGUAGAGGGGGCAACCCCUCGAGAGUGGCGAACGGGUGAGUAAUAUAUCGGAACGUGCCCAGUCGUGGGGGAUAACGUAGCGAAAGUUACGCUAAUACCGCAUACGAUCUACGGAUGAAAGCGGGGGAUCGCAAGACCUCGCGCGAUUGGAGCGGCCGAUAUCAGAUUAGGUAGUUGGUGGGGUAAAGGCUCACCAAGCCAACGAUCUGUAGCUGGUCUGAGAGGACGACCAGCCACACUGGAACUGAGACACGGUCCAGACUCCUACGGGAGGCAGCAGUGGGGAAUUUUGGACAAUGGACGCAAGUCUGAUCCAGCCAUUCCGCGUGCAGGAUGAAGGCCCUCGGGUUGUAAACUGCUUUUGUACGGAACGAAAAGGUUUCCAUUAAUACUGGGAGCUCAUGACGGUACCGUAAGAAUAAGCACCGGCUAACUACGUGCCAGCAGCCGCGGUAAUACGUAGGGUGCAAGCGUUAAUCGGAAUUACUGGGCGUAAAGCGUGCGCAGGCGGUUAUGUAAGACAGAGGUGAAAUCCCCGGGCUCAACCUGGGAACUGCCUUUGUGACUGCAUAGCUAGAGUACGGUAGAGGGGGAUGGAAUUCCGCGUGUAGCAGUGAAAUGCGUAGAUAUGCGGAGGAACACCGAUGGCGAAGGCAAUCCCCUGGACCUGUACUGACGCUCAUGCACGAAAGCGUGGGGAGCAAACAGGAUUAGAUACCCUGGUAGUCCACGCCCUAAACGAU
rnacentral:rRNA from 1 species